UCCAGACUCCUACGGGAGGCAGCAGUGGGGGAUAUUGCACAAUGGGGGGAACCCUGAUGCAGCGACGCCGCGUGGGUGAAGAAGCGCCUCGGCGCGUAAAGCCCUGUCAGCAGGGAAGAAAAUGACGGUACCUGAAGAAGAAGCCCCGGCUAACUACGUGCCAGCAGCCGCGGUAAUACGUAGGGGGCAAGCGUUAUCCGGAUUUACUGGGUGUAAAGGGGGCGCAGACGGCGAUGCAAGCCAGGAGUGAAAGCCCGGGGCCCAACCCCGGGACUGCAUUGGAAACUGGCGGGCUGGAGUGCCGGAGAGGUAAGCGGAAUUCCUAGUGUAGCGGUGAAAUGCGUAGAUAUUAGGAGGAACACCAGUGGCGAAGGCGGCUUACUGGACGGCAACUGACGCUGAGGCUCGAAAGCGUGGGGAGCAAACAGGAUUAGAUACCCUCGUAAC
rnacentral:rRNA from 1 species